UACGUAGGGGUCGAGCGUUGUCCGGAGUUACUGGGCGUAAAGCGUGCGCGGGCGGCUCAUUGCGCCCGGCGUGAAAGCCCCCGGCUCAACCGGGGAGGGUCGUCGGGGACGGGUGAGCUUGAGGGUAUCAGGGGUUGGUGGAAUUCCCGGUGUAGUGGUGAAAUGCGUAGAGAUCGGGAGGAACACCAAUGGCGAAGGCAGCUCGCUGGGACGUUACUGACGCUGAGACGCGAAAGCGUGGGGAGCAAACAGG
rnacentral:rRNA from 1 species